CAACCCGAAGGCCACGGCAGAGUAGGUGUGGGGCGCUCUGUGUCGCCACGGUGUGUCACUGAGGAGCCGCACAAUCCGGGAGGGGCCGGAGGGGCUUGGCGGCCGCCCGGCGGAGCCCCUUUCUUCCCAGGGACGACAGAAGCUGGAAGCCAAGGCCGUCUUCAGUGAAUAGCAAACGUGGUCAAGUGAUCUUCGUGGAAGCUCGUCAGGAUGAAAUCUCUAGAACACUCCUGAGGAGGACGUCUGAGCCAGCACUGAAGCACCACACCCAACAGGUGGACAGUCAGCCCUGACCAGCGCUGCUCCAAACGGACUCCAUCUUUCUGCAGAAGGCACCCGCGACAGCCCUGGUCCACGGACACAGGGCCACGGAGCUCCCUGCAGCGCCGUGAGAAAGAAUCUCAGCUCGACUGUAGACGGCGCAGGGGCAGGGGCUCAGCCAGGCCAGAGCAGAGCCCCCAGCCUGGCGCUUUGCAGUCUGGAAGUUGUCCAGGUUUCGGUGUCCACAAAUGGUGUCACUUCAAGGAUUGUCAUCGCCCUUCCUCGGCCGGUAUCAGAGAAUACGCUGUAGAGAAAGUCCCACUUGUUCGGAAAGCGGCUUUGAGGCGAACCCUUAAUCUAAAACGUCAGGAGUACAUUCUCUCCCUUCAGGCGCAGUGUGAACCCUUCCGGUGCCGGCGACCGCGCGGCGGCGAGGCGCGCGCUCCGGGCGCACAAAGGGUCCCCGCGCCUCCCGCCCCCGGGCCGGCGUCCCCGCCGCCCCCGGGGUCCGCGAGCAGUGCGCGCGGUGGGACACAGGCCUGCAGGAGCCGGGGCAGCGAGAGAGCCGAAGACGACCGCCGCCGAUGGGCGCCCAGCUGCCCCCGCCGUGUGCGCGGUAACGGGGUCCCCGCCUCUCCCCCCAAAACCCGGUUCCAGGCGCAUUCUCUCCAGGCCCGGGCGCUCCCUUUUGCAACGAAACCGUUUACUCAACUGGAUUUAACCACAAC